rnacentral:rRNA from 1 species
ACGGAAGGCAGCAGUGGGGGAUAUUGGACAAUGGGGGCAACCCUGAUCCAGCGACGCCGCGUGAGUGAAGAAGUAAUUCGUUAUGUAAAGCUCUAUCAGCAGGGACGAUAAUGACGGUACCUGACUAAGAAGCUCCGGCUAAAUACGUGCCAGCGGCCGCGGUAAUACGUAUGGAGCAAGCGUUAUCCGGAUUUACUGGGUGUAAAGGGAGCGUAGGUGGUUUUGUAAGUCAGAAGUGAAAUGCCGGGGCUCAACCCCGGAGCUGCUUUUGAAACUGCGAAACUAGAGUGCAGGAGAGGUAAGUGGAAUUCCUAGUGUAGCGGUGAAAUGCGUAGAUAUUAGGAGGAACACCAGUGGCGAAGGCGGCUUACUGGACUGUAACUGACACUGAGGCUCGAAAGCGUGGGGAGCAAACAGGAUUAGAUACCCUGGUA